UUUUAGACAAAGCUGGGGGGAAAAAAAACCCUAAUUAAAGAAUCGGAGAUUCAAAAAAAUCGAAAUAAAAAGUAAAAAUGUUUCCAGGAUUGUUUAUGAAAAAACCAGACAAAGCAGAGGCUUUGAAGCAGUUAAGGUCACACGUGGCCAUGUUUGGUGCCUGGGUUGUUGUGCUCCGUGUCACUCCUUAUGCUCUUCAUUACCUCUCUCAUGAAAAGGAUGAGCUCAAGCUCGAGUUCUAGAUCCCACCGUUCUUUCUGAAGUGGUCCUGGAGGAGACGAAUUCUGUUGAGAUGAAGAUGAGUGUCCGAGCUCUAUCUAUUUUCUUUCCUUAUUCUUCAGCUGAAAGCACGUGAAGUUAUCUUGUACUUGCAUUAGGCCAUCUUUUCUAGCUUAUGAUUUUGGAGUUUCAAUACUGUGAUAUUAUUUAAUGGCUGGUUGAUGUAUUUAUUCCGCGGAAUAUACUUAGGUGAAAGAAUUUUAUUUCUUAGGAGGAAUGUUUUACGUGUUAUUUCUGAAUGGUGUUCUCUGCCCGGAGGCCACUUUGGGCAGAAACCGCGGGUCCAUAUAAGCAAUCUAGUGAAGAUAGUUGAUUUCAUUGUUAAAUUAGUAAGAGGGUGACUAAAAUGGGUUUUGCUCCUGAAAGGGAAAGAGAGUCAAUGAAGGAGAAGACAUGCUGGCCAAUGAGUGGCUGAACAGUAGAACAUCAUGCAAACGACCAAUAACCAGUUGCCGACAGGUCCAAUCAUGCCAAGUCACCAAGGCAAGCUUUAUCCCGCGCUGUGCUGUGUUGAGCCAGCAUGAUUUGAGCUGUUUUACCUUUUCUUUCAGCCCUUUUUGCUAUGCUAUGCAUCGAUGAAAAUAGAAAAUACCAGACUCUCAAGGCA